UACAGAGGGUGCAAGCGUUAAUCGGAAUUACUGGGCGUAAAGCGAGCGUAGUCGGUUAUUUAAGUCGGAUGUGAAAUCCCCGGGCUCAACCUGGGAAUUGCAUUCGAUACUGGAUAGCUAGAGUUCGGCAGAGGGAAGCGGAAUUUCUGGUGUAGCGGUGAAAUGCGUAGAUAUCACUUGGAACGCCAAUGGUGAAAACAGCUCGCUGGGAAUGAUCUGACACUGAGACGCGAAAGCCAGGGGAGCGAACGGG
rnacentral:rRNA from 1 species